rnacentral:tRNA from 1 species
UGCGGGGUGGGCCAGCAGUAGGCCGAAAGGCUCAUAACCUUUAGACAUUGGUGCAAUUCCAAUCCCCGCAA